rnacentral:rRNA from 1 species
AGUGAACGCUGGCGGUAUGCCUAACACAUGCAAGUCGAACGGCAGCACAUUAAGAGCUUGUUCUUACGGGCGUCGUGUGGCAGACGGGUGUGGAAUACAUCGGACUCUACUUUUUCGUGGGGGCUAACGUAGGGAAACUUUCGUAAUUACCCCUUACGACUUACGGGUGAAAGCAGGAGAUCUUCGGACCUUGCGCGAUUGAAUGAGCCGAUGUCGGAUUAGCUAGUUGGCGGGGUAAAGGCCCUCCAAGGCGACGAUCCGUCGCUGGUCUGAGAGGAUGAUCGGCAACACUGGAACUGGGACACGGUCCAGACUCCUACGGGAGGAAGAAGUGGGGAAUAUUGGAAAAUGGGCGAAAGCCUGAUCCAGAAAUACCGCGUGGGUGAAGAAGGCUUUCGGGUUUUAAAGCCCUUUUGUUGGGAAAGAAAGGCAGCAGGUUAAUACCCAGAUGUUCUGACGGUACCCAAAGAAUAAGCAACGGCUAACUUCGUG